UAUCACAUCACAUCGUUGGCCAUAUCACAUCACAAGCAUACCCUGCAAAAAUAAGUUAGACGUCCUCUAAUUGUUGUUGCAUGUUUUACGUGGUCACCAUGGGUAUCUAGUAGGAUCGCAUCUUACUUACGCAAACAACACGACGGAGAUAUAUGAAUUGCUAUUUAACCUCAUCCAAGGACCUCCUCGGUCAAAUCUGAUUCAACUAAAGUUGGAGAAACCGACACUCGCCAGUCAUCUUUGAGCAACGGAGUUACUCCUAGCGAUGAAACCAGUCUCUCGUAAGCGUACGAGUAAUGUCGGUCCGAGCCGCUUCGAUCCAACAAUACCGCGGAAUCAAGAAAAGACUAAGGAGGGCAGCAAAACGCACAUCACCGCCCACAAAAACUUUUGUGUUCUACUUGAGAUUACAUCUACGCAUGAACCUAGCUCAUGGUGCCACUGUUGGGGAACGUCGCAUAGGAAACAAAAAAAUUUCCUACGCGCAUGAAG
rnacentral:lncRNA from 1 species